rnacentral:misc_RNA from 1 species
GAUGAAGAACGUAGUGAAAUGCGAUAAGUAGUGUGAAUUGCAGAAUUCAGUGAAUCAUCGAAUCUUUGAACGCACAUUGCGCCCCUUGGUAUCCCGAGGGGCAUGCCUGUUCGAGCGUCAUUUCACCACUCAAGCCUGGCUUGGUGUUGGGCGACGUCCUCUUUGGGGACGCGCCUCGAAACGCUCGGCGGCGUGGCACCGGCUUUAAGCGUAGCAGAAUCUUUCGCUUUGGAAGUCGGGGCCCCGUCUGCCGGAAGACCUGCUCGCAAGGUUGACCUCGGAUCAGGCAGGGAUACCCGCUGAACUUAAGCAUAUCAACAAGCGGAGGA